ACAAAGAACUGUUGAAGAUAACCUUCUCCUACUUCCUGAAGAUCUUCCCCUUUAAACUGAGAUUGAUGUGGUCUUCCAUAUAGAAUUUCAAAUGGGCUGGCUCCUUCCUUUGACUGAGGUUUCGUUCUGAUUCUUAAUAAGGCCAAUGGUAAUGCCUGAUACCAGUACAAAUUUGUCUCUUGACAAAUCUUACCAAUUUGUUGUUUGAUUAGAUGAUUCAUCUUUUCUACUUGUCCACUGGCCUGAGGCCUAUAUGGAACAUGCAAUUCCCAAUCAAUUUCUAAUUUCCUGCUGAUUUCUUGUAACAAUUUUGCACUGAAAUGUGAGCCUCAGUCAGAGGAGAUAGUUGCUGGUACCCCAAAACGAGGUAUUAUUUCAUUUAAUAGUGUUUUAAUUACUUGUCUCGCAUUAUUCACUCUGCAAGGGAAUGCUUCUGGCCAGCCUGAAAAAGU